GACGAACGCUGGCGGCGUGCUUAACACAUGCAAGUCGAACGGUGAAGCGCCUUCCUUUUUGGUGGGUGUGGAUGAGUGGCGAACGGGUGAGUAACACGUGAGUAACCUGCCCCCUUCUUCUGGAUAACCGCAUGAAAGUGUGGCUAAUACGGGAUAUUCUGGGUCUGUCGCAUGAUGGGUCUGGGAAAGAUAUUGUUUCGGUGGGGGAUGGGCUCGCGGCCUAUCAGCUUGUUGGUGGGGUGAUGGCCUACCAAGGCGGUGACGGGUAGCCGGCCUGAGAGGGUGGACGGUCACACUGGGAGUGAGACACGGCCGAGACUCAUACGGGAGGCAGCAGUGGGGAAUAGUGCACAAUGGGCGCAAGCCUGAUGCAGCGACGCCGCGUGAGGGAUGGAGGCCUUCGGGUUGUGAACCUCUUUCGCUAGUGAAGCAGGCCUGCCUCGUUUGUGGGUGGGUUGACGGUAGCUGGAUAAGAAGCGCCGGCUAACUACGUG
rnacentral:rRNA from 1 species